ensembl:lncRNA
AGCCAUACGCUUACCUAGCAACACCUCAUCUAUGAAGCUCUGAGCUCUCUGGAGCCUUGGAAGCUCUUUGCUUUGACAAUGAAGUUCAGCCAUUGAGUGAUUCUACAAAGCUGCUGCACUUCUACAGCCAUCAAACAGAAGGUCAGUGAGAUGAAGACGUCACACUGUCUUUUUCACACUGGCAGAGGUCAAAACAGGACUUCAGGACCUUGCAGAAGAAGUUCCUCAAUGUUUUGAACUUGCCAUCUGAACCAUCUGAAGAAACAGAUUGGUACACACAGAGGUACCUAAAAAAACCCACGUGAUUUUACAUACAAGCAUGAAAACAUAGGAAACAGCACCAAGAGAAACUGCUGAGGACCAUGGAUGGGAUGCUGCAGCACAACAUCACAGUGGGGAUCUCAUCCUGCAUUUCUUUCUGACUCUCUUUCAUCAGUGUGAAGUGGAAGUGAAGACAGCCAAAGUCUUGGGUCUCAUCUUGCUGCUCUCAGAUCCUUGGCCAAUGGCACUCUGGAUAGUUCCAUCUACAGCAAAUCUUACGGUGCAACACCCGCAGUUCAUGCACUGGUGUAGAACUUCCCAGUAUCUUUGAACCUCUGGGUGAGGCCAGUGGCAUCUGAAUGAGAAAUGGAAGCCUCAGAAUGACAUGGGUAUGGAAGACUCAGUUUGCAGAGUUAAGGUCACACAGUGUGUGAUUUCUCUUUUCCAAAUUCCUUAAUGUCAAUGUAUGAUAAAAUACACUUUUAGUUAAUAACCAUAGUUCAUAAAAAUUAACAUGCGACUCCUGCCACCCAUACUGGAAGCAGACUGAACAGGAAUCACAGCAUCCACCAAAUUCUGUUUGUUCAAUAAAACCAACGGCAAAAAAGAGCAAGGGAGGAGUAUGUUGACAAAAUGUGCAGUACACUAUAAAGUAUUUGACACUUCCUCAGACAUGCCAAAGGCAACUGGGCUCUGGAGUAUUUGGAAAGAAGGAGAAUGAAGCACUUUACUGUGUUAAUGCUAGGAGUUAUUGUCUAGACCACUACUGACUAAGGAAGAUGGUGGUAUCUAUUAAAGAUCUUUUUUUUUUUUUUUUUUUUUUUAAUGGCAAAACUUUUCCAAAAUCUCCAAAAGACCAUGGAAACCCCGGGGAAAAAACAGAUGGCUGGAAAAAAAACUAAAUUAAUGAUGAUAUUUACAAAUCAAGGAUAACAUAGAGGACACAGAAAAUGGUUAAUAUGCCAUCAGUAUAAGGCGAAACUGAAGAAUCUGGAUAACUAUUAUCCAUGAAAAGGAAUAAAAGAUACACAAUGAAAUGUAUAAAUGCAAAACAAUAUGGGCUUAUGGCAAAGUGAAACAAACCUAAUAUUAAAAAAUAAAUAAAUUUUUUGGUUGAUCAAGAUAGAUGGAAAGAUUUCUUUAAAACAUUUAGCUUCAUUCUGCAUUUAACCCUUAUUUAUAAAACUGUUUCUUAAAAUACCAUUGUUGAAUAUGUAAAAUGGGCUUAAGCACUGGCUAAAUAAUAGUCUCAAUGAAUAAAUGUGCAAUACUAAAUAACAAAUUUUGCUGAAUGGGAUUCUUCUAUGGAUUUAGGGGUCUGAAAGUCCAGAUUCCAAAACUGUUUUCACAACACACCAAAAAGUGCAGCCUAGGGAUAUGUGCACUGGAGAACACUGAUGAAAAAUGAGGAAGAGAUUUAACUUCCACAUGUUAGAAUGAGAUAAAUGCUAGAAUAACUCUCUUUGUUCUGGCACAUUCACUUUUAAAAAGUUGUUGAGAAAUUUGAGACAAUAUCACAGAGACACAAAAAUGAUGAGAGGACAUGGAGCAAAUGCUUCACAGGCAAAAGCUCACAAACCUCAGUCUGUUCAUUUUAUCAGAGAGAAGACUGAAAACUGACUUGGAGACAGUGUAUAAAUACUUGGAUGAAAAACAAAACAAAACAAAAAGUUCUCUAAAGAGCUCCUCUAGAAUCAAUGCCUGGAAGCAGAAAGCAGAGAAAUUAAUCCGAAAAAAUAAUGUACAUAUUUUUAAUAGUGAUUUUCACUUAAGCAGAUUAUCCACAGGAUUUUUUUCUUCCAUUCCUUAGGAUGUUCAUCAGGAUUUGGUGCCUCUGUAAAAAACCGUGCUUUUGUCAGAAGCAAAUCUUCAGGCUCCAGGUAGAAGUGAUCUAUAAUUGGCCAGUGAUAAAAAAAGCAGACAAUCUAAUGGCCUUGAAUUUAAUGAAGAUCCGGAUGACUUUAGGAGAAUUCCUGUGCCUAUAGUACUCAAAUAUGUAUAUGUUAAUAAGCCACAAAAGAGUAUAGAAGGGAUGCAUACAACUCAUACAGGAAAUGAAAUGCUCUGAACUCUCAAGAGGAUGUUUAUGUAGAAGCAGCAAGAAGCAUCAACCUCUCUUUCCACAGUUUUAUAAAAACCAACCAUUCAAAAAGAUGAAAAAUCAACAUCCUCUGUUGCUGCCACUAGGUCAGUGUUAUACCCAUAGCACAGCAGGUGUUCACCUGUCAGUCAGCUGAAAAGACUGUUCAAGUGUUCAAGAAAUGUUUGGUUGUUGUAAUAAGGAACAUGGUUUAGUGGGGAAUUACUGGUGGUAGGUGGACAGUUGGGCUGGAUGAUCUUGGAGGUCUUUUCUAACUUUGGCGAUUCUAUAAUUCUGUGACUUGUAGGCAUGCAAGUAGGCUGCCUCUUAGAAGACUAUGGAACGUCACUGAGGUGGCCAAUGCCAAAUGCACAUGGAGAUGCAGUGGGACAAACGAUGAAGAAAGAUGAUUAGAUGAAGAGGAAAAUGUCUUUGGAGUUAUGAAAUGACUGAUUAACAUGAAAACCUUGUGGCUAGUUUACAAGGAUAUUGGAUUUAGCAGGAGAAUUACUGAAAAUCAAACAAACUCGUAUUUAUGUAAAGACACACAUCAGAGUGACUGAAAGAACAUUUAUUUGAAAAAAAAUUGAUUUCAUUUCCAUCUUUCACCAGGAAACUAUUCUUUAUGAAGAAAGAAAAAUGUGAGUCCUUUGCAAAAUAUGAGAUCCAUUCAAUAUCCACUCCCUCCUUGAAAGUCUUGUCACACUUUUUUGCUAUUAAUCAAUGAUCUGUAAGAUGGCCAGGCUUUAAUCGAAGGAAAUGUUAUUAUUCUGCAGGUAAAAGCGUUUGCAACAUGCCAAAGGGUGUUUCUUUAAACUUUAAUGGAUAAAGCCUAGAGAGCAAGUUUCAUUAGUCUGUAGAGAAAAAACAUUUAUUUAUCAUAAUGUGUGAAGCCACGAGUUUUCUGCAUUUGCUUAUGAUCCUGACAAUUUUCAGAUAAAAUUAUAGGAAUAAUCAUGAAAAAGCCCCUGAAGCCUUAGAAUAUUUCCUGUGAGGAAAGAAGAGAUUGUUUCUGUCUGAUAAUUUAAUAAAUAAAUAAAUAAAUAAAUAGGAACAAAACCUAGCAUUUAAAUUCAAGCUAAAUAAAAAUCUUAAAAGGUUUUGUCUUUUCUGUGAGUACAAGGAACACAGGGAGUUCACUAGGAGACAUUUACCUUCUUGUUCUUGAGCUUAGGGGUCUGAACAGUUAUGCCCCCAAAGCGGCAGCUUCCUGUAAUAUUGACCGAACCACCUGAGGCUCCCAGCUCUGGGAAGCCAGGCUGGAUAUUUUGGAAGAAAGAUCUUUCCCCAGAGAUUUCAGGUACUUUCACUCUAGAUUUCAGCUAUAUCACUGACAAUUUUAUUUGUGCAGUUCUUGUGACGGUCCCAGUUGCUGAGUGCAAGUGAAACCCUUACCUCCCAGAUUAUGAAUUCUAUAAAAAGUCUUCUUAUAUUUCAAGAGUGGACAAAGGUUUACAGAGAGCACUCAGAUUAGAAGGAAGUAUGUACUGUGCUAGAAUGUUAGAAUACAGUAUGAUGAAUCCUGGUUCCUAUUUAAGGAAUUAAAAAUAGUGAUGCCUAAAAAAUAAACAAUGCUCUG